AGUCAAGGAGCUGUGCAGACUUCUGCAAGGCAGGCUCUGGAUAGCACAACACGGACAACUUGCUCCCUUGUGAUUUUCUGAGAGGACCUGUUCGUUUGGAUUAUAUUCUUUUAGGACUAUUAAAUACUAUCAUAGAAACAUAGUCGUGCGUCUUCAUACUGUCUAAUUCUAACUUUGUCCAAAAGAAGGGGGGCUGAGUUUCUUCUUUGAUACUGAAGUAAACUGGGCAGAAGUUUGAAGCCUGUUUGCUAGAGGGUGAAGGACAAGUGCAAUGCGUGUCAGCUCUUGGGAUUGCCCCACUUGUGCCUGAGGAGCUAUGCCGAGCUGCCGCACAGAGCUGGUUCAAGAGGACGCAGGCCAAAGUGAAUAACGAGUCAACUUCCAGCCUCUUCAGCUUUUCCCACUCACAAGCAAGUGCAGCGCGGAGUCUGACUGAGCCCGUUGAGCAGCUCUGACACCCCGGUUUCUCUCCCCCCACGGGGGGGAUGGUUGUGGAUCCUCUGGGGCCAGGAGCAACUCUGCGGCUCCUACAGAAUAGCACAUUCCUCUCGUUUGGCGUUAAUUCUAAAUUAAAGGGAGAUGAGAGCCGCACUUUGUUACGUCCUGCUGUGGACGGCGUACCUGCUGCUGGCCACCGCUGAGGAAGUGGAGUUUCCCCAGGAGCUGAUAGACAGACUGUCCCACAGUGAAAUCCACAGCAUCAGCGACCUCCAGCGGCUACUGGAGAUUGACUCCGUAGGUACGGGAAACGAUGUUAUCGAGGAGCCCAAGCACCACAAGCACCACAACCACCAUAAGAACUACUCCCGUCAUCACGGUCACUACAAUGACCUGAAGAGCUCCCAGCUCCACAGCAGACGCAAGAGGAGUGUCGUAGAGGAGGCGGUCCCGGCGGUGUGUAAGACACGGACGGUGAUCUACGAGAUCCCCAGGAGCCAGGUGGAUCCCACAUCUGCCAACUUCCUGAUAUGGCCGCCCUGUGUGGAGGUGAAGCGCUGCACGGGCUGUUGCAACACCAGCAACAUGCGCUGUCACCCUUCCCGCAAGCACCACCGCACCGUUAAGGUGGCCAAGGUGGAGUAUGUGAGGAGGAGACCCAAGCUGAAAGAAGUCUUUGUGCGGUUAGAAGACCACCUGGAGUGUGUGUGCACGUCACAACAUCAUGUGGUUGAGCACUCAGAAGCAGAAACAGGCCACCGUAGGGCUAAAGGUAAAAAAAGGAAACCUAAAAAGCUAAGGCCCAGCAAGGAUUUAUUGGCGACAUAAUAAAGUUGCACUCAUUACCCAAAGUCCACUGGAGAGCUGUGAAGUGAAACAGUGGAUGUGAGGUGAGACCAAUCAGAACAAGGGACUUCAGCGUGGGAGGGACCUAAGCAGAGGUUGUCACCAACUGGAGACCUGCUCUGUCCUCUUUCCCACAGCCAUGCAUCCUUCGUUUGAAAAAACAAACAUUUCUGUAAAAACAAGAAACUGAAGAUUAGACAACGGACAAAAAUAAAUAAGACGCCAAAGGUGCUUUUUUUUUAACAAAAAAAACAAAAAAAACAAUAACCAGUGAUGAUGACUUCCUCUGUGGUACGCCACUUACCCAGACAACUGAAUCCUGCCGCUGAUUAAGAAGAAAAGAGAAAUAUGCUGUGGAGCUUGGGCAGGGCAGAAAGAGGCCGAAGGGAGAUGAUGAAAGGGAUUUGUGUUGAACAUUUUGACAGACUUUGUUUGAACAAGACGCACAACCGAAAAGGCUAUGAAACAGUUGGAUCAAGCUUUCGUGGGAAUCUGGUGCUCAGACUCCAAAACAGCAGUGGAUGACCUCCAGCUGGGCAACAUAAAAGUGCCCUGCCCUGAUUAAAUGACUCUUGCAUACACAGGAAGAAUGAAAGAGAGAUAUAGGAAAACAAUGGAAAUUGCUGGAGUUAUGGAGGUGUUUUUUUUCCAAAAGACUCUCUAUGGAGCAUCAAACAUUUUGAGUUUUUGGAUGUUUGCUCUGAGUAAAGAGGAAAUCUUUUCUGAGACCCCUGGUGGUCUUUGACUUUGCCCACCUGCUAUGUACAGUUAAAUCUGAAAAGGAUGCACCGCUACUUACAAACUAUUUAUACAUGUGGACGUUUGCUUUCUGUCUCUUCCAUUACAAAAGAAAGAACAAAAAAUAUGUUUUUAUGAUUUUGGAAACAUGCAAGAUUCCCGUGUGGUCUGGUUCUUUGUAACCAUCAGUAUCACAAUCCCAAUGUCAUUUUUUUAGUUGUUAUUCCUGUCAUCCAUGUUUCUUAUUAUAUUACAGUAUAUCCGAAUGACGUCAAGUCUUGUAUAUGGUUUGGAUAUAUGUAUGCAAGGAGGAGAUGUGAGAGGAAGAUGCUUUAUUUUUGUUAUGAAAUAUAUUAUGCUUACUUAUAUUCAAGCAGGAAUUAUGUUUAAUUCUUUUGUUGUGGUUGAACGCCUGUAUUUAAUCCAUUGGAAAAGAUGCAAAAACAUGGGCAGGGGGUGGAAUAGACAAGGGAAAAAAGGCUGCCAGUGCUUGUUAGUGUGUGUGCAUGAGUGCAUCAGAGCUGUGAAAAUGUUGGACACACUGGCUCAAACAUGGCAACUACAUAUUGAGUGGCCAUACUGUAGCUUAGUCUACAGACAUGAUAAGCACUGCCGAAUCCUUUAUGUAACAAGUGACGUUUCACACAAACAUGCGUAUAGCACGUAGAGUGUGUGCAUGCCAAUCACACAGGCGCACAAAAACACAAAAAUGUUUGAGCAACUCUAGUGUGCAAGCAUGCACGUACAGGUGCAUGUGUGCUCACACACAGUUUCUCUGCUACAUGAUGCUAUUUUUCAUCCAUGUCACUGUAGCGUUGAUAAGGAAGAUGCCCGCCCGGUCUGCUUCACAAACACACAUGUUGCGCCUACAAAGAGCAAAGUCCAACCUCAAAGAGUGAAUGAGUGAGCAAAGCAAAUCGACAGAUGCAUGAAUCGGCUCCUUGUUUAGCCAGUCUUUACUCCUCUGUCGGCAGGAGAAUAAAUCUCCUGAUCGCUCCACCCUUUGGAGGGGCUCACACCUUAUGCAGCCACAUACCAUCAGGACAAAUGAUGAUGGGCGCUCUGAGGUGGCCUGAAAACAGUACAGUGCUGGCCUAAUCCCGUGCCCCCGAUGGAAUAAGUAAUUACUUCCUCACCAGGUCCUGUAACAGUGAUGAAUGUGUAACCAGGCCAACAGGGCAAACAUGGCCAACACAACACUCCUCUUCCACCAAACGAGGAAGUUUGACGGAGAUUUUGUGAACAGCCAAAGGCGAAAGAGUGAGUCACUGUGAGGUGAGUCCAGUGAAAGUCAAAAGAGCAAAGUUUGACUGAAACAUGGCUGUAUCAGAUACUGCUGAGCUGUGAACCUCAGAUCUUACACACACACACACACACACACACACACACACACACACACACACACACACACACACACACACACACACACACACACACACACACAGCCCACCUGUGAAUUAACUAACCAUCAGUUGACUGGUGCUAUAUUUAUAAGGCUGAUGUUUCAUCACUCUUCACAUUUAAAUCAAUGUAAGACAGUGUUCUGAGUAAACCAGGGACCAUACUUAGAGCUAUUUGAUUAAAGAAAAUGCCAUUACACUAUCACUAAGCCUUUACUACUUUCCUUUUGGGCUUCCAUUGGAUAA